rnacentral:rRNA from 1 species
GCAAACUAAGAAUACUAAAUGGAUAAUUUACCAGUGAGACUGUGGGGGAUAAGCUCCAUUGUCAAGAGGGAAACAGCCCAGAGCACCAGUUAAGGCCCUUAAAUAAUUACUAAGUGAUAAAGGAGGUGGGAGUGCAUAAACAAUCAGGAGGUUUGCUUAGAAGCAGCAAUCCUUUAAAGAGUGCGUAAUAGCUCACUGAUCGAGUAAACCUGCGCCGAAAAUGAACGGGACUAAGUAAUUUGCCGAAACUGUGCGAUAUAUAAAAAUAUAUCGGUAGGGGAGCGUUCUGUUGUAGGUCGAAGUAUUAGCGUAAGCGGAUAUGGACGAAGCAGAAGUGAGAAUGUCGGCUUGAGUAACGAAAAUAUAGGUGAGAAUCCUAUACCCCGAAAACCCAAGGUUUCCUCCGGAAGGCUCGUCCGCGGAGGGUAAGUCAGGACCUAAGGCGAGGCUGAAAAGCGUAGUCGAUGGACAACGGGUUAAUAUUCCCGUACCAUUUUUUAUUGACAACGAGGGACGGAGAAGGCUAAGCUAGCCGGAUAUUGGUUACCGGUUUAAACGUUCAAGAUGUUGAGAAGCGGCGAAAACGCUUUGAGUUGAGACGUGAGUACGAGACGCUAAGGCGUCGAAGUAGUGUAUGUCAUACUUCCAAGAAAAGCUUGCACUGUCAUAAAUAAAAAAUGCCUGUACCAUAACCGACACAGGUGGGUAGGUAGAGUAUACUAAGGGGCGCGAGAUAACUCUCUCUAAGGAACUCGGCAAAAUAACUCCGUAACUUCGGGAGAAGGAGUGCCUUAUUCGUAAGGCUGCAAUAACAAGAUCCAAGCAACUGUUUAUCAAAAACACAGGUCUCCGCUAAGUCGUAAGACGAUGUAUGGGGGCUGACGCCUGCCCAGUGCCAGAAGGUUAAAGAAGUUGGUUAGCA